rnacentral:rRNA from 1 species
AGCAGUCGCCGCGGGAAUACGAAGGGGGCUAGCGUUGUUCGGAUUUACUGGGCGUAAAGCGCACGUAGGCGGAUCGAUCAGUCAGGGGUGAAAUCCCAGAGCUCAACUCUGGAACUGCCUUUGAUACUGUCGAUCUGGAGUAUGGAAGAGGUGAGUGGAAUUCCGAGUGUAGAGGUGAAAUUCGUAGAUAUUCGGAGGAACACCAGUGGCGAAGGCGGCUCACUGGUCCAUUACUGACGCUGAGGUGCGAAAGCGUGGGGAGCAAACAGGAUUAGAUACCCCAGUAGUCCCUGUCUCUUAUAU